UGUAUUGUAAUUGGAAUGAUGGGAAUUUAAACCUCUUCCAGAGUAUCAAUCUGGGAGGGCAAGUCUGGUGCCAGCAGCCGCGGUAAUUCCAGCUCCAAUAGCGUAUAUUAAAAUUGUUGCAGUUAAAAAGCUCGUAGUUGAAUUUCUGCUGUAUUGCAUUUUCUCUUUUUAUAUGAGUUUUUGCAUUAUGGCUUAUUUCAGUAUUAAUUUUUUAUUAUUACUGAAUGUUUACUUUGAGAAAAUUAGAGUGCUCAAAGCAGGCUUUUGCCUUGAAUAGUUUAGCAUGGAAUAAUAAAGUAGGACUUUGGUUCUAUUUUGUUGGUUUUAGGUACCAAAGUAAUGGUUAAUAGGAACAGUUGGGGGCAUUCGUAUUUAACUCGUC
rnacentral:rRNA from 1 species